AACGAACGCUGGCGGCAGGCUUAACACAUGCAAGUCGAGCGCCCCGCAAGGGGAGCGGCAGACGGGUGAGUAACGCGUGGGAAUCUACCCAUCUCUACGGAAUAACGCAUGGAAACGUGUGCUAAUACCGUAUACGUCCUUCGGGAGAAGGAUUUAUCGGAGAUGGAUGAGCCCGCGUUGGAUUAGCUAGUUGGUGGGGUAAAGGCCUACCAAGGCGACGAUCCAUAGCUGGUCUGAGAGGAUGAUCAGCCACACUGGGACUGAGACACGGCCCAGACUCCUAGGGGAGGCAGCCGUGGGGAAUAUUGGACAAUGGGCGCAAGCCUGAUCCAGCCAUGCCGCGUGAGUGAUGAAGGCCCUAGGGUUGUAAAGCUCUUUCACCGGUGAAGAUAAUGACGGUAACCGGAGAAGAAGCCCCGGCUAACUUCGUGCCAGCCGCCGCAGUAAGAC
rnacentral:rRNA from 1 species